GUGAGACUCGUUCCGUUGGUAGAGCGCAACCUUGCCAAGGUUGAGGUCACGCCUUAUGUUCAAGAGAAGGGAACCUCGUGUGUCGCUCCA
rnacentral:tRNA from 1 species